UACGGAGGGUGCAAGCGUUAUCCGGAUUCACUGGGUUUAAAGGGUGCGUAGGUGGGUAGGUAAGUCAGUGGUGAAAUCUCCAAGCUCAACUUGGAAACUGCCGUUGAUACUAUUUAUCUUGAAUAUAGUGGAGGUGAGCGGAAUAUGUCAUGUAGCGGUGAAAUGCUUAGAUAUGACAUAGAACAUCGAUUGCGAAGGCAGCUCGCUACACUAUUAUUGACACUGAGGCACGAAAGCGUGGGGAGCAAACAGG
rnacentral:rRNA from 1 species